rnacentral:rRNA from 1 species
ACGAACGCUGGCGGCGUGCCUAAUACAUGCAAGUAGAACGCUGAAGGAAGGAGCUUGCCCUUUCCGGAUGAGUUGCGAACGGGUGAGUAACGCGUAGGUAACCUGCCUGGUAGCGGGGGAUAACUAUUGGAAACGAUAGCUAAUACCGCAUAAGAGUAGAUAUCGCAUGAUAGCUGCUUAAAAGGUGCAAUUGCAUCACUACCAGAUGGACCUGCGUUGUAUUAGCUAGUUGGUGGGGUAACGGCUCACCAAGGCGACGAUACAUAGCCGACCUGAGAGGGUGAUCGGCCACACUGGGACUGAGACACGGCCCAGACUCCUACGGGAGGCAGCAGUAGGGGAUCUUCGGCAAUGGACGGAAGUCUGACCGAGCAACGCCGCGUGAGUGAAGAAGGUUUUCGGAUCGUAAAGCUCUGUUGUAAGAGAAGAACGAGUGUGAGAGUGGAAAGUUCACACUGUGACGGUAUCUUACCAGAAAGGGACGGCUAACUACGUG